GGGCUUGUACUGGUUUCGACAGGGAUUCUGAAGAUGGAGAAGCUAUCCGUAGGCCGAUGCGUCAAAUCGCAAACUUAAAAUUAAACGCUAACGAUAAUUUCGAAUUAGCUGCAGCCUAAUUGCUGCAUGUCAGUCCCGAGGCACCCGCACCUUGGGAAUCUGGCAUCAACUAUGUGGGAAACGAUAUUAACAAAGCUUUGAGUUAAUAGGCGUAUUAUGAAGCUACUGAACCUGUAAGAGUGUUAGUUCUCGUACAGCAGAGGGAAUGUUAAACAACUGACUAUGAUAGUAGAAGUACAUGGGAUGGGUUUUUGGACGCGAGUUCGAUUCUCGCCAGGUCCA
rnacentral:tmRNA from 1 species